AUUGAACGCUGGCGGCAGGCCUAACACAUGCAAGUCGAACGGUAACAGGAAGCAGCUUGCUGCUUUGCUGACGAGUGGCGGACGGGUGAGUAAUGUCUGGGAAACUGCCUGAUGGAGGGGGAUAACUACUGGAAACGGUAGCUAAUACCGCAUAACGUCGCAAGACCAAAGAGGGGGACCUUCGGGCCUCUUGCCAUCGGAUGUGCCCAGAUGGGAUUAGCUAGUAGGUGGGGUAACGGCUCACCUAGGCGACGAUCCCUAGCUGGUCUGAGAGGAUGACCAGCCACACUGGAACUGAGACACGGUCCAGACUCCUACGGGAGGCAGCAGUGGGGAAUAUUGACCAAAGGGCGCAAGCCUGAUGCAGCCAUGCCGCGUGUAUGAAGAAGGCCUUCGGGUUGUAAAGUACUUUCAGCGGGGAGGAAGGGAGUAAAGUUAAUACCUUUGCUCAUUGACGUUACCCGAAGAAGAAGCACCGGCUAACUCCGUG
rnacentral:rRNA from 1 species